UGGGUUGUGGCUCAGUGGUAGAGUGCUCGCCUAGCACAUGUAAGGCGAUGGGUAUGAUCCUCAUCACCACAUAAAAAUAAAUAAAUAAAAUAAAGGUAUUAUGUACAAAUACAACUAAAAAUAUAUUUAAAAAAUACAGACAAGGGCUGGGGUUGUGGCUCAAGCGGUAGUGCGCUCGCCUGGCAUGCGCGGGGCGCUGGGUUUGAUCCUCAACACCACAU
rnacentral:tRNA from 1 species